AACCAUAGAAACCUGCGGAGUACCUGCGGAAGGAUCAUUAUUGGAUUUAUUUCUUCUGUGGGUUUUUUUCUUUAGUUUGAAAGGAAAAGGAUCUGCAGAGACAAACAACUUGUAGCACCCAAAAAGGUUUAUUUAGAAAAGAAAAUGUGGUUGGCUGAUUUGAGAAAAAGUGAUUUGGUGUUAGAAAAAAAAAUGAAACAACUUUCAACAAUGGAUCU
rnacentral:misc_RNA from 1 species